rnacentral:piRNA from 1 species
UCCCAGGAAUUCGCUCGGGUGAUAGUAUC